GGCCUACGGGAGGCAGCAGUGGGGAAUAUUGGACAAUGGGGGCAACCCUGAUCCAGCCAUGCCGCGUGUGUGAAGAAGGCCUUCGGGUUGUAAAGCACUUUCAGCUGUGAGGAAAGGCGAGUGGUUAAUACCCGCUUGCUGUGACGUUAACAGCAGAAGAAGGACCGGCUAACUCCGUGCCAGCAGCCGCGGUAAU
rnacentral:rRNA from 1 species